GCCCGAGUAGCGUAGCGGUAGCGCAGCUCCUUUACACGGAGACGGUCGGCGGUUCGAUCCCGUCCUCGGGUACCA
rnacentral:tRNA from 1 species